rnacentral:rRNA from 1 species
UACGGAGGGAGCUAGCGUUGUUCGGAAUUACUGGGCGUAAAGCGCACGUAGGCGGUUAUUCAAGUCAGAGGUGAAAGCCCGGGGCUCAACCCCGGAACUGCCUUUGAAACUAGAUGACUAGAAUCUUGGAGAGGUCAGUGGAAUUCCGAGUGUAGAGGUGAAAUUCGUAGAUAUUCGGAAGAACACCAGUGGCGAAGGCGACAUACUGGGUCAUGACUGACGCUGGAGGCUCGAAAGCGUGGGGGAGCAAACAGG